GUAGCUCAAUGGUAGAGUGUUUGCCUAGCAUGCAAAGGCCCUCGGUUCAAUCCCAAGC
rnacentral:tRNA from 1 species